ensembl:lncRNA
CAGGAGACGUGGGUUCGAUCCCUGGGUUGGGAAGAUCUGCUGGAGGAGGAAAUGGCAACCCACUUCAGUAUUCUUGCCUGGAAAGUCCCAUAAACAGAGGAGCCUGGUGGGCUCCAGUCCAUGGGUAGCAUGACUGAGUGACUAACGCUUUCUUCUUUCUUUUCUUAACAUGCUGGGCAGGUGAUGUGCCCACAGAGGACAUGGCAGCUCUGUGCCCCUUCCCCAUACUUUGCUCCUUGGAUCUCUUCUGUUUGCCAGUUCCCAGCUUGGAACCUUUAUAAUAAACCAAUAAUAGCCUGACCUGAAGGGUGAGCUCCUUUGGGAAUCAGAUGGGGCCCAGCAUCUCAGCUCUGCCUUAUCCAGUUCUGCAGCAGUAUUAGGAGUAUUCCCCAAGUGCGUUGCUACACAUCUCACAAACAAGGCAGGAAUGACAGCCAUCUGAAUGCUCCGCUCGGUUGGGUGGACUCUCUAGGAUCCUCACAUCAUCACCACUCAUCUCAGUGAAAGACCAGCUCUUUUUCUGCUGCCCAUGGAGGCUGCUCCAUCCUUGUCAUCUUCCUCUUCCCCAGGGGGAGAGGCUGGACAUGGAAGGCACUGCCCUGCCUUUGAGAAACUUGAAACAACUGGGGGAGAUACAGCCAAAUAGGUGAAGAAUACCUGGAUGGCAGCGGAGAAAUAGUUCUGUAGAUACACCCCACACCCACGCCUGCGCCCAGCCAGGAGAGCAGUGACUGGUCUCACCAAGGGGCUGGAGGCUGCCACAUUCCCUCCUCCUCCUUCUUUUGAACAGCUUUAUUGAAGUAUAAUUGAUGUAUAGUAAACUCACGUUUGAAGAAUACAGUUUGAUUAGUUUGACCUAGGUCUCCCCUGUGAAGCCAUCACCACUGCCUGGACAUUGAGCGUAUUCGUCACUCAUUUCCUUGUGCCCCUUUGAAGCCCCACCUUCCUGCCCCUUCUGCCCCACUCAGCCACCCAUCCAUCUGCCGUCAGUCACUAUAGGUUGGUGUACUUUUUCUAGAAUUGGAUGUGUGUGAAACCAUACAGUGUGUGUAUUUUUUUUAAUCUGCCUUCUUUUACUCAGCAUUAUUAUUUAUGUUGUUGUAUAUAUGAUUACUUUGUUCCUUUUUGUUGCUGAGUAGUAUUCUACCAUAUGAAUAUACCACAGUUGGUUUAUCCAUUAAUAUGUUGAUGGACAUUUGAAUUGUUUCUAGCUUGGAGCUACUAGAAAUACAGCUUCAAUGAAUGUUCAUAUAUCAAUACAAAACUUUGUGUGCGUAUAUGUUUUUACGAUUCUUGGGCAUGAAAUGGCUGGCUCAUGUGUCUAACUUAAAAAAAAAACCUGCCAAACUUCUCCCCAGAAUAGCUGAAUCAUUUUACAUUUCCACUUACAGUUUCUCCCUAUCCCUAUCAACGUUCAGAAUUGAUUGGUCUUUUAAAUUUUAGCCAUUCUAGGGGAUGUGUCAUGGUGUCUUAUUAACUUACCAUUAGUUAUUUCCCAAAUAACUAGUGAUGUUGAACAUUUUUCAUGUGUUUAUUUGCCAUCCAUACAUUUUCUUUGGUGAAGUGUCCCUACAAAUUAUUUGCCCAUUUUUAAAGCUGGGUUGUUCAC